rnacentral:rRNA from 1 species
AUUGAACGCUGGCGGCAGGCCUAACACAUGCAAGUCGAGCGGAUGAGUGGAGCUUGCUCCAUGAUUCAGCGGCGGACGGGUGAGUAAUGCCUAGGAAUCUGCCUGGUAGUGGGGGACAACGUUUCGAAAGGAACGCUAAUACCGCAUACGUCCUACGGGAGAAAGCAGGGGACCUUCGGGCCUUGCGCUAUCAGAUGAGCCUAGGUCGGAUUAGCUAGUUGGUGAGGUAAUGGCUCACCAAGGCGACGAUCCGUAACUGGUCUGAGAGGAUGAUCAGUCACACUGGAACUGAGACACGGUCCAGACUCCUACGGGAGGCAGCAGUGGGGAAUAUUGGACAAUGGGCGCAAGCCUGAUCCAGCCAUGCCGCGUGCAGGAUGAAGGCCUCGGUUGUAAC